rnacentral:lncRNA from 1 species
AGUGCCUUGAAAGCUGUGUACAUGACCUCACGUUUGCCGCCCCAACGCUGAGCCACGCACACGCACCUGCGUGUUCUCACCAGCGCCUCCACCGCCAACCGCCCGGGGUCCUCCGCCUCCACCUCCCGGUAGGCACCUUCACCGACAGCGCCCGUAGCCUCCGCUGGUUCCCAGGGCUGAUGGUAGUUGCCAUCCCACACAUAAGUGGCGGGGUCCUCAUCGGCGAAGACUUCUCGGAACAUGUCCACCAUGUACAGAUCCUCAGCGCGGUUGCCGUCCACCACCAUGAGCACGCGUAACCUCGUGUGCGGGUACAGCAAGGCGCGCGCGGAGGUCAAGCACUGGCGCAGAGAUGAGUUCUCCUGUAGCCCAGCCUGGCCUAUAUGUAGCCAAGGAUGUCUUUGAACUUCUGACCCUCCUUUUGCUACUUCUGGAGUCCUGGGAUGUCAGGCAUGUACCACUAUGCUGAGUUUAUGCAAGUAUUCUACCAACUGAGCUACAUUUCUAACCCCAGGUAAGUACUUUUAUCAUUCCCAUUUUCCAGAUGAGGUACAUAGUCAUAGAAAUGCAAAUGCCCAGAGUUACAUAUAAGAUUAUGGGACUUGAAUCCAUGAUGCCAACCAUUAAUCAGUCCUUCUAUACUGAGUUCUCCUCUCAGGAGAGCACUCAGAGACAGCAUUUACAGUCAUGGUAUAGAUAGCAAAGACAAAGGUUGACAGAACCCUGUGACAGGUAAGCAGCCAUAGAACCACAGCCUCAAAUAGAGGAGGGAGAAAACAGACUCUUGCAAAUUGUCCUCUGACUUCCAAACUUGUAAGCAAACACACACACACACACAGACACACACACAGACACACAAAUGUUUUAAAAAAAAAGGUAAAAAGAUGGUGGUGUAAAGCUCAGCUGUAGAACAUUUUCCAAGCAUGCAUGAAGCCCUGGAUUCAAUCCCGAGCACUUCAUAUGGAAAUACAUAAUUUAAAACAAAAUUUUCAUUUAGC